CAUUAGAUGGCUGAAAGUAAGCAAUGGUCUCUUAAACCAGUCUAUAGUAGAUUCACGACUACUUCUAAUGA
rnacentral:tRNA from 2 species